rnacentral:lncRNA from 1 species
AAGACUUUUAACAGCGAGCAUGUAUAAUACUCAAUAUGCUUGUAAGCAAAAAGUAUCAAAAUAAUAUCGUGAAAACCUACCUAUAAUAUAUAAAUCAACAAAAUUUAAUUAGAGUAUCUAACUGAAAAUUAAAAUCAAUUUUAAGAAUCACCGAUGAAUUAGGCCUAUAGUCAACAAAGAGUUGCAUAAACAAGCAUUUUGUUGACCAUUCCGAGAAAUCAUACCCCUAAAAAGUCACAACUCUUUCUUAUACCAGUGGAAAAAAUCACAACUAUUAAAAAAAAAGAACUUACAAAUUUCAUCGAAAAAUCACAAACCUAAAAUAUAGAAAUUUCUACAUUAAGUGCAUCAUGAUUUUAAGGUAAUAAAUAAAUAAAAAUCAGAUAGAUAGAUAAUAGAAGAGCAUAAUAUAUUAUAUUUUCAAAAAAAUGAAAAAUAGUUUUUGAAUUAUUAUUUCAAAUGUUGUUGAUAACAAUUUUGAGGCUCUGAUCUGCAAAGAGAUGAGGACGAAAGAGAGGGCAACCACGCCAUGGCUGCAAAAUCAAGAUGAUUUGCCAAGCCAAGAUACGGAUCGUUUAGUCUCCAUCCCCAAUCCAGUUAGCUCAGAAUUCAAAAAAAUCAUCAUCAUUAUCAUCAUCGCCUCUAAUACAACACACAUACAUACCGUAGAUAGAUUAUCAGAGACACAAAAAAAAAAGAUUAUUGCCAAAGGUUGUGAAAUAUAUGUAUAUUUGCCAUUUGAAUGAUCCAGUCAUUUCCAAGAAAUUAACAUGAAUCCAAGGGUUGUUGCUUCUGAAAAAUAAAAAAUAAAAAUCAUUGGCUAAACAAGAGAGGGGCAACCACCCUUGUUAAAGAAAAAUUCCUAAAACUCUCUGUUUUGCCUCUUUUUUUCCUUUUUAGGUUUUCUGGGCUAACUUUUUCUUUGCUGGAAAAGUUGUUUUGGUUCUUCUCAACCAAAAUAACUUUCCACUUUUUUCAUUUGGGAGUUUUCC